CCUACGGGAGGCAGCAGUGGGGAAUUUUGGACAAUGGGCGCAAGCCUGAUGCAGCUAUUCCGCGUGUAUGAUGAAGGCCCUCGGGUUGUAAACCACUUUUAUUCGGGACGAAGGUACUCCUUCUAAUAACCUUUUUAACUGACGUUACUCUCAGAAUAAGCACCGGCUAACUACGUGCCAGCAGCCGCGGUAAUACGGAGGGUGCAAGCGUUAAUCGGAAUUACUGGGCGUAAAGCGCACGCAGGCGGUUGAUUGAGUCAGAUGUGAAAUCCCCGAGCUUAACUCGGGAAUGGCAUAUGUUACUGGUCGACUAGAGUGUGGUAGAGGGAGGUAGAAUUCCAUGUGUAGCAGUGAAAUGCGUAGAGAUGUGGAAGAAUACCGGUGGCGAAGGCAGCCCCCUGGACAAUAACUGACGCUCAGGUACGAAAGCGUGGGGAGCAAACAGGAUUAGAUACCCUUGUAGUC
rnacentral:rRNA from 1 species